GAGGCAGCAGUGGGGAAUAUUGGGCAAUGGGCGAAAGCCUGACCCAGCGACGCCGCGUGGGCGAUGAAGGCCUUCGGGUUGUAAAGCCCUGUCAUGCGGAAAGAACGACCCUGCGACGCAUAAUCGCAGGGAGUGACGGUACCGCAGGAGGAAGCACCGGCUAACUCCGUGCCAGCAGCCGCGGUAAUACGGAGGGUGCAAGCGUUGUUCGGAAUUAUUGGGCGUAAAGGGCGCGUAGGCGGUAAUGCUAGUCAGAUGUGAAAUACUCCGGCUCAACCGGGGAACUGCAUCUGAAACUGCAUAACUAGAGUACAGAAGAGGAAAACGGAAUUCCCGGUGUAGAGGUGAAAUUCGUAGAUAUCGGGAGGAACACCAGUGGCGAAGGCGGUUUCCUGGUCUGAUACUGACGCUGAGGCGCGAAAGUGUGGGGAGCAAACAGGAUUAGAUACCCUGGUAGUCCACACUGUAAACGGUGAACACUAGGUGUGGGAGGUGUAAUACCUUCCGUGCCGUAGCUAACGCGUUAAGUGUUCCGCCUGGGAAGUACGGCCGCAAGGUUGAAACUUAAAUGAAUUGACGG
rnacentral:rRNA from 1 species